rnacentral:rRNA from 1 species
UACGUAGGGUGCAAGCGUUAAUCGGAAUUACUGGGCGUAAAGCGUGCGUAGGCGGUUCCUCAAGUCCGUUGUGAAAGCCCCGGGCUCAACCUGGGAAUGGCAGUGGAAACUAGGGGACUGGAAUCUGGCAGAGGGGGGUGGAAUGCCGCGUGUAGCAGUGAAAUGCGUAGAGAUGCGGCGGAACACCGAUGGCGAAGGCAGCCCCCUGGGCUGAGAUUGACGCUCAGGCACGAAAGCGUGGGGAGCAAACAGG